rnacentral:rRNA from 1 species
AGUGGCGGACGGGUGAGUAACGCGUGAGAAUCUGCCUUGGGGUCGGGGACAACCACUGGAAACGGUGGCUAAUACCGGAUAAGCCGAUUGGUGAAAGAUUUAUUGCCCGAAGAGGAGCUCGCGUCUGAUUAGCUAGUUGGUGAGGUAAGAGCUCACCAAGGCAGCGAUCAGUAGCUGGUCUGAGAGGACGAUCAGCCACACUGGGACUGAGACACGGCCCAGACUCCUAUGGGAGGCAGCAGUGGGGAAUUUUCCGCAAUGGGCGAAAGCCUGACGGAGCAAGACCGCGUGAGGGAGGAAGGCUCUUGGGUUGUAAACCUCUUUUCUCAGGGAAGAAGCUCUGACGGUACCUGAGGAAUCAGCCUCGGCUAACUCCGUGCCAGCAGCCGCGGUAAUACGGAGGAGGCAAGCGUUAUCCGGAAUUAUUGGGCGUAAAGCGUCCGCAGGUGGCGAUUCAAGUCUGCUGUCAAAGCACGGGGCUUAACUCCGUAAAGGCAGUGGAAACUGAAUAGCUAGAGUGCCGUAGGGGUAGAGGGAAUUCCCGGUGUAGCGGUGAAAUGCGUAGAGAUCGGGAAGAACAUCGGUGGCGAAAGCGCUCUACUGGACGGCAACUGACACUCAGGGACGAAAGCUAGGGGAGCGAAUGGGAUUAGAUACCCC